rnacentral:tRNA from 1 species
GGGUGUAGCUCAUUGGUAGAGUACGUACCUAGCGUGCCCGAGGUCCUGGGUUCAAUCCCCAGUACUUCCA